rnacentral:rRNA from 1 species
CCUACGGGGGGCAGCAGUGAGGAAUAUUGGUCAAUGGUCGGGAGACUGAACCAGCCAAGCCGCGUGAGGGAGGAAGGUACAGAGUAUCGUAAACCUCUUUUGUCAGGGAACAAAGGCGGGGACGUGUCCCCGGAUGAGUGUACCUGAAGAAAAAGCAUCGGCUAACUCCGUGCCAGCAGCCGCGGUAAUACGGAGGAUGCGAGCGUUAUCCGGAUUUAUUGGGUUUAAAGGGUGCGUAGGCGGACGCUUAAGUCAGCGGUAAAAUUGCGGGGCUCAACCUCGUCGAGCCGUUGAAACUGGGUGCC